rnacentral:rRNA from 1 species
GAUGAACGCUGGCGGCGUGCCUAACACAUGCAAGUCGAGCGAACAGACGAGGAUUUUUCUCCUCUGACGUUAGCGGCGGACGGGUGAGUCACACGUGUAUACCCUACCUAUAAGACUGGGAUAACUUCGGGAACCCGGAUCUAAUACCGGAUAAUAUAUUGAACCGCAUGGUUCAUUAGUGAAAGCCGGUUUUGCUGUCACUUAUAGAUGGUUCCUGGCUGGAUUAGCUAGUUGGUACGGUAACGGCUUACCAAGGCGACGAUGCGUAGCCGACCUGAGAGGAUGAUCGGCCACACUGGAACUGAGACACGGUCCAGACUCCUACGGGAGGCAGCAGUAGGGAAUCUUCGGCAAUGGGCGAAAGCCUGACGGAGCAACGCCGCGUGAGUGAUGAAGGUCUUCGGAUCGUAAAACUCUGUUAUUAGGGAAGAACAAAUGUGUAAGUAACUAUGCACGUCUUGACGGUACCUAAUCAGAAAGCCCCGGCUAACUACGUG